UUCGCCUGUUCGGCGGCUCGUCUCUUUUGCAUGUAGCGUGUUUGUUCGGCUCCCGGCGUAUUCUUGCGUUCUUUCUGCACUUUGACACGGCACCACUGCACUAUUGGACUACGGCAAGGCAAGAAUCGUAGGAUGACGCUCCCAACUACAUGUGGUUCCACUGCUCCAUCUUCUCACCGGAGCCAUCUGAUCUGCCUCUUGACGGAAAUGACGCCGCUAUCUUUGCACCGGGAUCGCGGUGAAGUUUAUCUUCGUAAGCUCGGCCAGCUCAUCUAUCGUCGGGAUCUGUCUAAUCUGCGACGGCGACGGUUGACACCCCAGCUGGCACCGUGCGGGCCCUUUACGAAGCCGCGAAUGCCUAGCUUUCAGCAAGGCCAAGGCCUCCCUUGACCCAAGAUGAGAGACAAGAGCGAGACAAAUUAUUUUUUCCGGAGCAAGUAAUUAGUGGGAAAACUGACAUUAUUUUGCUCGCGCUUAGGUUUCACGAAGUGGAUGUCAGAAAACUAAUUGUGUUAUCCAUUGCCGCAUUCCACCAUUUCCUUUUAAUAGUAUACAGUUGAUUAUACAGUCAUUCUCUAUAGCUGUGCCUGCGUGCAUCAUUAAAACCUGCCCGCCUUGAUGUAUUGAAUUGUAUUGCUUUCUAUUCUUAUUCUUCCUAUUUUGUUUCUGCUGUUAGCGCGAUACGAAUGCUAUGGGAUAUUCAAACAGGCCAAAAGCACGGAACCGCCCCCUCCAGUGUACUUUUAUUACUCUUGUAGUUGUACUUUCCCUGGCCACAAGCAAGACAUAGAGCUUAGUGAUUUUCUAAUUAUUUCUAAGAUUCGAAGUGAAAAAAUAAAUAAAACUGUCAGCGACAGGCUGACAACGGCCAAGCAACGAGGCUCACUCAUCUCAAAGGGAAGUGGAUAGGAAAGGCGCAGGAAUUAAAGACAGAGAUAACAAAAACAAUAACAAAAUAAAAAAGGGAGGAACUUGCAAAUAAAUACUCGAAGAGCUCGACAAGCAAUGAAUUACUUGCGCUCAACAGUAGCUUGCGAUCGUCAGCAGAAAACAGAGACCCGCGAAACAGCGAAACUCACAGGGAGAGAAAUAAAUAAAUGAGAUGUGGAAAGCGAGGUGGUUAACCGGAAGAUAAAUAUCGAGUUUGCUGCCCCGGACUGGAGAAGGGGAUAAGGUUAGACAGAAAGAGAGAAGAAAUGCACAGAAAGAGCAAGAGGUAAAAAAAAAGAAAUCACAACUUUGAGCCAAACAUAGCGGCGCGCGAAGCGACUUAAGCCAUGCGAACUUGAUAAUAAAGAAAAAGAUUAAAUCAGUCUACCAUUCGAAUGCCUAGCCUAGAUGAAUUAAGACAACUUCGGAAUCUGUAUUUGAUCCGGGCGGGAAGCACAUGCUCUAGGGAGAAUGCUUUCUAAAGAAGUACAGUCGAGGCAAAGAAAGUGAUAGUGAAGCGUGGUACGUUGUUGGGCAUGCGUGGCAAUGCGUUUAAUCCACCAGUUCAAACAGGCGAGAAGUCAGCGUCGUCCAAAAGGUGGCAGUAUCUUCUUGCGUAUUGCAUAUAUUUCAAACAACAACAACGACAACUGCAUUAUUUGCCCUGCGUAAUUUUUACCAAUUUGCAGGGAUGAUGAUGUGUCGCAAGUAUGGUGUCCUAACGCUGAUAGAUCAAUCUCGUCAAUAAAUAUCUUUUCAUUUGUGACACAUUAUUAAAUUUUUCUUUAUUCUUGAUUCCUCAUAGUUGCUUGACAGCUACAUAUUAGUCUCCAAUGCCGUACGCUGUUUUCCUA